rnacentral:rRNA from 1 species
AUAUAAUUAAGUGGUGGAAAAGAAACUAACUAGGAUUCCCUUAGUAAUGGCGAAUGAACAGGGAAAAGCUCAAAAUGAAAAUCAGAGGUUCGGGCUUCUGAAUUGUAGUCUCUAGAAAAUGCUACCAGUGGAGGCGCAGGGAUAAGUCUCUUGGAAAAGAGCAGCAGAGAGGGUGAGAGUCCCGUCUAUACUCUGCAGACCUUCACGUACGGUGCAUUUUCAAAGAGUCGCGUUCCUUGGGAUUGGAGCGCCAAGUGGGUGUUAAAUUUCAUCUAAAGCUAAAUAUUUGUGGGAGACCGAUAGCGCACAAGUA